AGUGAACGCUGGCGGUAGGCCUAACACAUGCCAGUCGAACGGCAGCACAGUAAGAGCUUGCUCUUACGGGUGGCGAGUGGCGGACGGGUGAGGAAUACAUCGGAAUCUACUUUUUCGUGGGGGAUAACGUAGGGAAACUUACGCUAAUACCGCAUACGACCUACGGGUGAAAGCAGGGGAUCUUCGGACCUUGCGCGAUUGAAUGAGCCGAUGUCGGAUUAGCUAGUUGGCGGGGUAAAGGCCCACCAAGGCGACGAUCCGUAGCUGGUCUGAGAGGAUGAUCAGCCACACUGGAACUGAGACACGGUCCAGACUCCUACGGGAGGCAGCAGUGGGGAAUAUUGGACAAUGGGCGCAAGCCUGAUCCAGCCAUACCGCGUGGGUGAAGAAGGCCUUCGGGUUGUAAAGCCCUUUUGUUGGGAAAGAAAAGCAGCAGGUUAAUACCCCGCUGUUCUGACGGUACCCAGAGAAUAAGCACCGGCUAACUUCGUG
rnacentral:rRNA from 1 species